rnacentral:rRNA from 1 species
AUUGAACGCUGGCGGCAUGCCUUACACAUGCAAGUCGAACGGUAACAGGUCUUCGGAUGCUGACGAGUGGCGAACGGGUGAGUAAUACAUCGGAACGUGCCCGAGAGUGGGGGAUAACGAGGCGAAAGCUUUGCUAAUACCGCAUACGAUCUCAGGAUGAAAGCAGGGGACCGCAAGGCCUUGCGCUCACGGAGCGGCCGAUGGCAGAUUAGGUAGUUGGUGGGAUAAAAGCUUACCAAGCCGACGAUCUGUAGCUGGUCUGAGAGGACGACCAGCCACACUGGGACGGAGACACGGCCCAGACUCCUACGGGAGGCAGUAGUGGGGAAUUUUGGACAAUGGGCGCAAGCCUGAUCCAGCCAUGCCGCGUGCAGGAUGAAGGCCUUCGGGUUGUAAACUGCUUUUGUACGGAACGAAAAGACUCCUUCUAAUAAAGGGGGUCCAUGACGGUACCGUAAGAAUAAGCACCGGCUAACUACGUGCCAGCCGCCGCAGUAAUAC